CUGGUUCGCAGGCCUGGAGGCACAUUAGAAUCACCUGAGGGGGCUUUUAAAUCCACCCAUGCCUGGGACCCACCCAGAAAUCUCCAGGAGUGCAGCUGAGGUAGGGAAGUUUUUAAAAACUCUUCAGGUGACUGUGAAGCAGAGAGCAUAUCACUGCUCGAGCGUUUCAGAACCAGAAACAAAUAAGUGACACAAGUGAAGAGUGAAACUACAACAUUUCGGAAUCAAAUUGUCAUGUUGGGAGUAGUCCUAUGGAGAGGCCCCGGUGGCAAGAAACUGAGGUCUCCAGCUCUCAGCAAGAACCCGAGGCCUGCUAACACCCACGUGAGUGAGCUCAGACUCAGGUGUGCUCUGAAACCUGCUGCCAGGUGAGUGCAGUUCUUCCCACAGGGAGCCCUGAGAUGACCGCCGCCUCCGGGGAGACCUUGAAUCAGAACCGCCCAGCUAAGCUACUCCUGCAUUUCUGACCCACAGCACAGGUUGCAUCUUUCCUUAAAAGCCAUUAACGGUCAUCUACUGUCCAUGGGGCGGAGGUGGAGCUGAUUCAUACAGAAUUUGAGAAUCUUGCCUUGCUUACCAUCUAAAGAUGACUCAAAAGCUUCUUACAUCCAAAUGAAACGUCUCACUUCGUUCGUAAAGAAUGUGGCAUCUUUAGGGUUGAAAUCCUGUAAUGACCCUAAAGCAGAUAAGAGCAGAGCGGCCUCUACACCCAGGGAUAAGGAGCACGAGCAAUCACUAGGUGCCAAGGAGUUUGAAACGGAGCCCGGC
rnacentral:lncRNA from 1 species